CCUUAGAAGAUCCAAGAAGAAGGAAGGUGUAGCAUUGGUAUUCUCUUCGAAUGGCAUUAGCAGGAGUGGGUGGGUAUCAUUGGUAACCGAGCUUGGCAAUUGGUGGCUAUGAAUACCUGCUCGUGAUUUUUCCCCCUUCAGGGGAGGGAGUUCAAGCAUAGGGAAGGGUUGGGGAUCGGGUUUCCAACUGGUUGGGAUUUAUCGGCUUCGGGUUCGGGUUCUGUAUAGGACUCGGCUUGUUUUUGACUGUCCUUGAUAUACUCUCCUUAUAACACACCAAUGCUGACCCGAAUAAGUUCACACAAUCCCCAAAUUGACAACCCGAUCCGUUGCCACAAGAAUACUACCUGGAAAGUGGACACAUUUUUCAUUCCUGCGGUGAGCAAAGUCUUUUCUAGAGUAACUGAGACCAAAGCUUCUUCCCUUCUCUUGAUGACAUGGGAGCCAGAGGAGUUGUCGGGGACAAGUGGUCCAUGAGAAUUCUUUGGGCUUGUGCUCUUGGAAGUGCUGCUGGCCUAUAUAUGGUUGCUGUAGACAGACAGAAGAAGAAUAGGGAGAAGAUCCUAGCCGAAGCUCUGAACAUGGAAUUAGGGGAAAACACUGGCAAAGAUGCCUGAACUACAACAUGAUUUUGCCCCCCCAAAAAAAGAAAAUAAAUAAAAAAAGAAAAAGAAAAACUGUGUUAUCAUGCAGCCUAACAGAUGCAGAAUUGCCAGUCUUUUUUCUAAAAGUACCUUUUGAUGCAUAAGGUUUCUGCAUUCAUCUUUUUUUUUUUUUUCCCAAAGAUAGGAAACUCGAACCCGCAACCUCUUAGAUGAGUAUGGGAAGACUAUGCCAUUUGAGCUAUAACUCAUUGGCUUCUGCAUUCAUCUUUUGUCCUUUUAUUGGCAAGAUAAUCAAAUAGUUUAUUAAAUUUUAGAUGUGGCA